UCUAAAACUUCCUCCAUAACACUGCCGCCAUCUUUGCUAAGCUAGUGUUUCCUCGGCUUUAAUGGCGCUGUUCAGCUCCCUCACUUCUCCUCGUCGGCGGCGACUCAUCUUUUAGUUUUAUUAUCUCUGGCAGCGAGGAGGAGGCUUCAUGCUCACUGUGGCGAGGGACUGCAGAUGAACCUUGUAAGAGGACAGCAGUGGAUUUGGAUUCAUAAGCUCCGGCUGCAGUUUGAGGACUCCAUCUGCUGGAUGAUGAGGAGACAUGUGAACCCCCAGCUUCUUUUGAGAUUUUGAGACCACCAGCUGAUCCCAAGGACAUGGCAGCACCACCACGACACUCACAGCACCUCAGUCAACCUCUCACAUCAACCCUGGAAGACCAGCAGGAACAGCUACAAAUCCUACAGUUGUGCACGCAGUCACUCUGAGGUUAAUACACUGCACCAAGGCAGCACAAUGAAGCCUGGAUUAAAUUGGAACAAUGUAAGCGAAGGGCUUCCAGUUUCAAGCCCACUUUGUAUCCGUCACCUUUAGCGAUAAAUGUGACGUACGAAUAAAAGUCUUUGUGAUAUAGCAGCAUUGUAUUAGUCACAGUGCACCUCAAAGAAUUAUGAAGAGUAUAGUCGGUACAUGAAGGUAAAAACAUCGUCUAAAUACAGGGACCAGUUAUUACAAUAUGAAAAUAUUACAUUUGUUUAAGAGAAACAAUCCAUUAUGAAAAGGAAGAGGGCGUCAGAAGAGCAUCACAGGUGAGAUAACAUGGGGGGGUGAAACAGCACAGCAUUACUAUGAUCAUCAUACCUGAAGAGUUCUUACCACCAUUAGGAAGGAAGGAGGUGAUCUGCUUUUUUUUCUUAAAUCAUCUCAUCAUCAUUCCUAUUGAUCAAUAUCCUUAAAUUCAGUAUUUGGUACAAGGAAAUAACACACUGUUUAAAAAUAAGCAGUAAAAUACAAACAGGAAUAAUUCAGUUCCCACAAAUAAGCAAUGCACGGAUAUACAAUGUUUUCAAAAAGUUAUCAUACAUACAGUAACAACUUUCAAAUGUUUCCUCUUUUCAAGUGCAAAACACGAACAGAAGAUUUUUUUUUACACACACUGACACUUACAGAGACACUGGCCCUUCACUUCAUAUGAAUUAAGAGAAAAUGUUCAGUUUCCUUUCGAUGUGUCUCUCAAGUACAAAUGUCUGAGGUCAGCAUUGACGCAACUGCACAGUAAGUCCAUACAGCAUGGAAUCAACGAAACUGCUUCGACAGCCAUUUUGCAUAUCAAGUCCGUAUAAAAAAGAAAUCAAGGAGCGAUAGCAUCAGGCCCUCCUCAAAGAUUAACACGACACCUACUGUGAGCUGAGCUGGAGAGACCGGAGGUGUGAACAGCAUGUUUGGUUGAAGUCUCUCCGGCUGAAAUAAAGGCGAGAGGUAAAAACAGGAGUACGGUAUGUUGACCCACAUUUACUGAGGUCUGAUAACAGUGAGAGUGUACUACUGCAACGCAAAGCAUGGCUGAAGGUCCAUAUUGUCACUGCAGAGUUGGAAGAUGUCAUUCUGUCCAAACAGCCUUUUCAUACAAAACAAAGAUUCAUGUAAAAAACUGUAAAUACACAGAUUUAUGUGUAUACCCAAUGUGAUGAAGAAAUCUGACUGUAGAAAAAUAUAUAGCCUAUAUCAAAGUCACUUAGCCAGAAAAUAAAUCCAACAAGCAAAAUUCAGAAACUAUCAUUUUACAAAGUCAUAUUUAUAAUGACACUGGCGGACCAAAUUACAUAAACUGAAGGCAUUUUGGUUUUAGGAACAUGUUGCAGGGCAUUUUUAAUCACAAGUUAAAAUCUGGAAAAGGGGCGAGUGGAUUUGGCUAAAUAUUAUUAUUUUAAAAAUUCCAAUAGUGCUUUGUUGCGCUUGGAUCAUGUGAACUCUGAGCUCACUUUAUAAUCAGUCACAUACACUAGCUAUUACCUUGCCUCCCUCUCUUAACUUUGUUAAAUGAUCUAUAAUCAAUAAGAGCUGUGUGUCAAAUCCCUGGACUUUCAGAGUGCCCAAGUGUCCCUGUCAGACUGCACAAAUGUUUCAUUUCCUCUGUUUUUAAAGGACUAAGAGAAGAGAAUACGUUUAAAAUAAUAAUAAUAAGAGCAAAAAUGACCCCUCUGCCCACAGCCUUGCAUUAAGAAACUGAAUCUUUCUUUACAGGUAUGUCAUACUUGACACUUUUACAAUUGAUGCUAGCAAAAAAUACUAUUUUCUCAAAUGUUUAAAUCUGAAAUUACUGAAUACAUUAACAGCGUGUUAUCAAAAACAGUGUAUGGCAUCAGUUUAGAAAAUGUGCAAAAUAAUUCUCAUUCUUAGCGAACAGAUUAGAAAACAUCAGUUCUCCACUAAUCACUAAUUCUUCCCAUAAAACUAACAAACUGAUAUCAUAUGGAGUAUUAACAGGAAGCUAUGAUGCUUUCAAAAUCUUGCAAAUCAAAACUGAAUAAACUGCUAUUUGUAUCACAUUUUUCACACUUUUUUGUAGCCCCAAAUUUAAGAGAUUGAUAAAGUACCACACAACACAGAAGGCAAUCUGCACUGACUUAUGAGCCACAGCUGGAGAAAGAAGUUUUUCAAAGUGUUUUGUAAUAUGAAGAUACUUUGAAAAAACCUUUUUCUUAAAGGCGAGUUCCAUUGUUUCAUAUCUUCCUGUGUCCAGUCUGUGCAGAUUGGCUAUAAAGGGGCUGUAACUGUAAUUCAAUGUGUACUGAAUAGGACUCAGGAAGAGUUCACAGUGAAUCAAGUAACCUUCUCUAAUCAAACCAAAGCCUUCAUCAUAAGAUCAUGCAUAGUCAUGAGGGGCACAGUCAAGAAGUUCAGUAGGGACAGUAAGGCAAAAGAACAUAGUGAGGGAGUAACAACGGGCAUCAGCUAAAACAUUACCAUCUCUGGCAAAACAGUCAUGUUUUUUGAGUCCUUCACUACGGAAGAAGAUUAUUUGAGUUCUGACUUUUAAUUCAGAGCUCAUAAAUUUUUAACAUGUGGCCCUAAUCCUCUACUGUACUUCAUAAAGGUAGUAAAAUAACAAAAUAUAAAGUAGAUUUGGCUUGAAGAGAAUUCAUAACUUAAGGUGUAAUGUGAGAAAUGCUACAUUUUCCCCAUUUUCUGGUUCUGUGAUUCCAUUUGGGAAAUAACAAAAUAAGUAACCUGCCACCGGAUGUUAAAACAAGUCAAUCAAGAUCAGAAAUCAAAAGCAUUUAGUUUCCAUUUUCUCACAGUUUCUUCACCAUAACACAUCAUAAUGAAUAUUUUUGCUCCAUGGUCUGACAAAUUAUCUCGACCAGAGGGGUUAAGCAGGAUGUUAAAUGCCUUGUUACUUUUACUGUGUCGUCUCCAAUAAAUCUUCCAUGUGCUCUUUGAAUUUUAAGAAAUAUCAGUCCAUGCAUCAUGAAAGGACUGUUUCAUGCUUAACACCAAACAAGAACAAAGUUUUUUUUUACAUCAUAAAAAAUAAAUUUAAAAAAUGCAUUUCCCUUAUGAAUUAACCACAAAAUAAACAGUGCACAGUUGGAGAAGGUCUGUUGUUUAAAGCACAUUAUAACAGCAGUAAAAUACCUGCCAACUCACACGUCCACUCAAAUAUACCGUAAAUCAUGAUGUGCAUAAAAAAUAUAUCUGAAAGUUCUGUUGAGUUGUGGUUUCAACUCUGUAGUAAAUGUGUUUAUAAUGACUUUAUUUCAGUGCUUUAACCUGCAUAUUUAAGUGAUUUCAAUUCAUAUGCAUUAACUCUGUGUUAAUGACAGCUGUACUUGCAUUAUAUUGCUACUGUGAACACUUAAUCCGAGAGAGGUUUUCAGUGCACAGCAUUAUUUUAGACUUUUAGACUAUUGUACUUUUUUUCUUUGCUUAUAUACAGGUUGCUUCAUUGAAAUAAAACCAUCCUAAGACAUUUUGAUGAGCUGUUUGUCCCUUUAGAGAUAAGUUUCCUAGGUUUAUGCUACUCACUUCUCCACUAGGUCUGUGCUGCUCUGCUGCACAGAUCCUAAAUACGAAGUAACCCAAAGACAUGAUAAUAUAAACCAAAAACACAGACUUUGUGACAAAUUCUUAUCCUUGUGACAAUUAAGUUGUUGAUAAUAAAAGAAAUUUUAGAAAUGCAUGGGAAGUAAAGUGCAUUGCAAUAACCUGUGUGUUGCUACAUGUGGCGGAAACAUCAGAGUGGUCGUAGUACGACAUGAACAGUGAAUCCCUUCCAUGUUUGCGUUCACGUUCUGCAUGCAUUUAUGAUUAAUAGCAACAAAGUCGCUGUAUUUCUGUGUGUGAGGCUGUAAAUGUAAACGUCGGGAACAAAAAGGAAGAGGCAUCAGAAAAAGAAGAAGUUAGAUAUCUGAGAGUGAUGUUAGAUCUAUACAAAAUAUUGGCACAUUAUCUUAUAAACAGUAUACUGGGUGAUGAUCAAGUUGUCUAAGAGUUACUACUUAAACAAAUGAGCCAUCCAGUCAUUUGUCUCAUGUUUCACAGUAUUAAAAGUGCACUAAUUGCCAAACAUACCACUGUUUUUCAGUUGUAACAUUUCUUUUAAAAUGUGCUGCACUCGAUCUUUCACGCUCAUUAAAGCCACUUAAAUCUCACUUUGUCUCCUCUU